rnacentral:tRNA from 1 species
GCCGCAGUAGCCCAACUGGCAGAGGCGCCGGUCUCAGAUACCGGAGGUUGCAGGUUCGAAUCCUGCGUGCGGCA